AUUGAACGCUGGCGGCAUGCCUUACACAUGCAAGUCGAACGGCAGCACGGGGCAACCUGGUGGCGAGUGGCGAACGGGUGAGUAAUGCAUCGGAACGUACCUUUCAGUGGGGGAUAACGUAGCGAAAGUUACGCUAAUACCGCAUAUUCUGUGAGCAGGAAAGCAGGGGAUCGCAAGACCUUGCGCUGAUUGAGCGGCCGAUGUCAGAUUAGCUAGUUGGUGAGGUAAAGGCUCACCAAGGCGACGAUCUGUAGCGGGUCUGAGAGGAUGAUCCGCCACACGGAAACGGAGACACGGUCCAGACUCCUACGGGAGGCAGCAGUGGGGAAUUUUGGACAAUGGGGGCAACCCUGAUCCAGCCAUGCCGCGUGAGUGAAGAAGGCCUUCGGGUUGUAAAGCUCUUUCGGCCGGGAAGAAAUCGCACGGGCUAAUACCCUGUGUGGAUGUCGGUACCGGAAUAAGAAGCACCGGCUAACUACGUGCCAGCCGCCGCGGUAAUAC
rnacentral:rRNA from 1 species